UUCAUUUUCCCAACCAUUUUCUUUCAAUUUUCCAACCAUUUCCUCCACCCUUCGCCACCAUUGCCCCCUUGGACUCUCCCUCUCCGCCAUUGCUAACCACUACUCUCCUCCUCUCCUAUCUCCCCCUCUCCCGCCCCCAAAUCUCUCCUGCAAAUUCAACUUCAACGAAUAUAGCUUCAUUUUCCCGGGAAAUCCCCGGACUUUUUCAUCUGGGACUGUUUGUUCGGCCAGUGUAACCAAAGUCUCCCUCUAUGCUCCGCGGCACCGCCAAUCCUCUCCAACGCAUUCAAAUUCAAGGAAAUGGCUUCCCUUUCCUGGGAAAUUCUGGGGAGUUUUGGUCUGAGGACUUUCUGUUGGGUGAGUGUUGACUUGGGUUGACCCACAAAGUGCUUGUGCGUCAGAGGGUGGUUGAUGAAGAGUUUGGGGUGCUAGCUGCGGAGAGGUGGCGGUUAUGGAGCCGGGGAUCUUCGGUUCGGUUUUUGUUUCCUUGAUUUUAGUGUUCUCUGCGUUUCUGAGGGUCUCUGGUAAUGCCGAAGGUGAUGCUUUGAAUGCGUUGAAGUCAAAUUUAGAAGAUCCUAACAAUGUUUUGCAAAGUUGGAAUGCUACCCUUGUCAAUCCUUGCAGAUGGUAUCAUGUUACAUGCAACAGUGACAAAAGUGUUACAAGAGUUGACCUUGGAAAUGCAAAUUUAUCCGGUCAACUGGUUCCACAGCUUGGUCAGCUUACAAAUUUGCAAUCUCUGGAACUUUACAGUAAUAACAUAAGUGGAAAAAUACCAAAGGAGCUUGGGAAUUUGACAAACUUGGUGAGCUUGGAUCUUUACAUGAACAAUUUAAGUGGUACAAUUCCGGACACAUUGGGCAAGCUUACAAAACUACGUUUCCUGCGGCUUAACAACAAUUCCUUGACAGGAACUAUUCCAAUGUCUUUAACUACUGUUAUGACACUGCAAGUCCUGGAUCUGUCGAACAAUCACCUAAGAGGAGAUAUACCAGUUAACGGCUCAUUUUCAUUAUUUUAUUCUAUCAGUUUUAACAAUAAUGACCUAAACCAAAUUCCACUUUUUCCACCUCCACCAAUUUCUCCAACACCAACAACUUCUUCGGAAAACAGUGCCACUGGAGCUAUUGCUGGAGGUGCCACUGGAGCUAUUGCUGGAGGAGUUGCUGCUGGUUCUGCACUUCUGUUUGCUGCCCUUGGAAUAGUACUUGCCUGGUGGCUACGAAGGAAACCACAGGAGCACUUUUCUGAUGUACCUGCUGAAAAGGAUCCAGAAGUUCAUUUGGGGCAGCUUAAAAGGUUUUCCCUGCGUGAACUACAAGUUGCAACGGAUAAUUUUAGUAACAAAAACAUUCUGGGCAGUGGUGGAUUUGGUAAAGUUUACAAAGGAAGUUUAGCUGAUGGUUCUCUAGUGGCAGUAAAAAGACUGAAAAAGGAGUGUAUUCAUGGUAGGGAACUGCAAUUUCAGACAGAAGUUGAAAUGAUCAGCAUGGCUGUGCACCGGAAUCUACUUCGUCUACAUGGCUUUUGCAUGACACCAACAGAACGGUUGCUUGUCUAUCCCUUUAUGGUUAAUGGAAGUGUUGCAUCAUGUUUGAGAGAGCGAGCUGAUGGACAAUCACCUCUUAAUUGGCCAAUAAGGAAACAAAUUGCAUUAGGAUCAGCAAGGGGGCUUGCUUAUUUGCAUGAUCAUUGUGACCCUAAGAUUAUUCAUCGUGAUGUGAAGGCUGCAAGCAUAUUGUUGGACAACGAGUUCGAAGCAGUAGUAGGAGACUUUGGGCUGGCUAAACUGAUGGACUACAAGGAUACUCAUGUUACCACUGCUGUAUGUGGCACAAUUGGGCAUAUUGCUCCAGAGUACCUCUCCACUGGGAAGUCUUCAGAGAAGACUGAUGUUUUUGGAUAUGGAGUAAUGCUUCUUGAGCUUAUCACUGGACAGAGGGCUUUUGAUCCUGCUCGGCUUGCCAAUGAUGAUGCUGUUAUGUUACUUGAUUGGGGCAGGUCAUUCGAGGCUUGGGAGAAAUUUCUCAGUGGAAAAGUUCUGAAAGAUGGAAGGGACUAGUUACCUGCGGCUCAGGGGGUUCUUCAGGAUGAAGCCUUUGGAAGUCUACUAGGAAGGAUUAGAUCGUUCUUCAAGCUUGAGUUCUUUAUUAAGUAAUGAUUAUAGGACAAAGUUUUAGCUUGAUAUGAGGUUUGAGGAAGUGCGCCUGAGGAUUUGGUUCCCUUCUAUAUUUGCUUUGACCUUUUGUAGGGAAACCUGGAUAGCUUUCAAUUGAUGGAUGGUAGUUCUGGACAUUCGAAUGGGUUCACUAAAAGCUUUCAUGAUUGAGAUUUGGAGACGAUGGGGAUUUUUCUGGCAUACCUUUAUCAGGGAAAUGAAAGAGGAUGUGUAAGUUUGUCAUAUCAAUGGAACAUUUUUUUUAUCAAAUCCCUUUUGCAGCAGCAUCAUCAUGGCCUAAUUUUAGCUUCCUGGUAUCAUCAUUCAUCUGGUUGGGAAUUUUUUUUACCCCAUCCAAUGUUGCCUUUUCUGUGUUGGUAGCUGCUUGUGAGAAGAUCCAACCAUGGACUGGCUGAUGCAAAAGGGGCAAGGGGUUAUACUCUUGUAUAUUGGUUUUGCUUUUGUGGUACGGAUGAUAAAUUGGCAAAUCAUAUUCUUCUCCAUCAUGAAGUAGCAUGUGGAACAUGGGCCUUAAUUUUUUUUUUUUUUCCUUUGUUUAAUGUUUCUUGGGUUUAUUCCUUCUUCAAUCAAAAGCAUCCUGUUAGCUUGGUGUAGCAGUUUUAGGGGAAAAUAAAAGGAAGGUUUAGAUAACUGUUCUGUUCUUUAUUUUUUGUCCUCAAUAUAUUUUUUCCUAUUAUAAAUGAUGGAUGGGGAUUAAAAGUUCUAAAUGAGGAAGCACAUACAGCAAAUUAGAAAGGACAGGCUGUGGCCAAACCAGUGAUGCAUGAUAAAUUUAUAUGUAAAAUAAUGGAAAUCUUUAAGUAGCAGAAAAUUGUAUGUGGAACCUUGGUGCCAAUACAUUUAUAUCCUAGUUCUUUUGAGUUGGGUUCACAAUAGAAUACACUUACUAUAUGCCUAGACUCAAAGUAGGAAAGUGAAGAAACUGAGAAAAUGAUAUUUCCAAUUCAUUCAAAACUAUAUCUUUUUUACAUAAACAUAUCCCUAUUUAACAAAUAUACAGAGAGAAAUUAAAACGGAAAAAAAAAAACUACAAAUAUGGAAGAACACAAAUUACCCAUAAUAGGGGCCUUAAUCUUUCCCUAUUAUCCUACCAAUCAUUAUUCAAAAUUGUAACGGACUUCCACACUCCCCCUCAAGUUGGAUCAUAGAUAUUAAUCAUGUCCAACUUGCCAAUAAAGUCUUCAAAGCUUGAUUUCUGUAACCCCUUGGUGAAAAUAUCGGUCAAUUGUUCCCUUGUAGGGAUAUAAGUCAUGUAAAUAAUCUCUUUCUCAAUUUUCUCCUUUAUAAAGUGUCUGUCCACUUCUAUAUGUUUGGUUCUGUCGUGCUGAACAGGAUUAUAAGAAAUACUAAUGGCAGCUUUGUUGUCACAAUAGAGUUUAAUGGGGUGCUCUACUGUAAUGCAUAGUUCUUCCAACAGUUUCUGCAACCAUAGUCCUUCACACAUACCUUGUGCAACUGCUCUGAAUUCAGCUUCGGCACUGCUUCUGACUACUACACUCUGCUUCUUACUUCUCCAUGUUACUAAAUUACCCCAGACAUAGGUACAGUAACCUAUAGUAGACCUUCUGUCAUCUGUUGAUCCCACCCAAUCUGCGUCUGUAUAGAUCUCUACUUUCUUACUAUCACUCUUCUUAAAGAAUAGUCCUCUCCCUAGAGAACCCUUUAGGUAUCUGAGGAUCUUAUACACUGCUUCUAGAUGACUUUCCUUUGGUGAGUGCAUGUAUUGGCUAACCACGCUUACAGCAAAAGCAAUGUCAGGUCUAAUGUGAGAAAGGUAGAUCAGUCUACCUACUAGUCGCUGAUAUUUCUCUCUAUCCACGGGCUUUCCGUCACUUUCCAUUCCGUUUCUUGCCUUGAUAGGGGUAUCACUUGGCUUGCAUCCUAGCAUGCCAGUCUCAAUCAACAAGUCAAGUACAUAUUUUCUUUGGGAAAUACUAAUUCCCUUCCUUGAUCUGGCGACCUCCAUUCCUAGGAAAUACCACAUUUGACCCAGAUCUUUCACCUCAAAUGCUGUGGCUAAGACCUUCUUCAAUCUUUCCACUUCUCCUGUGUCAUCUCCAAUGAGAAUGAUGUCAUCGACAUACACGAUUAGAAUGGUCAUUCUUCCAUCAUUGGACUGUUUGAAGAACAUAGUGUGACCUGAUUGUCCCCGUUGGUAUCCUUGAUUCUUAAUCACCUUUGCAAAUCUAUCAAACCAUGCUCUGGGUGAUUGUUUGAGACCAUAAAGAGAUUUCUUUAAUUUGCAUACCCUGGUUUCUUCUUCUUCCUUACAGAACCCUGGUGGUAACAUCAUAAACACUUCCUCUUCUAGUUUACCAUUCAAAAAGGCAUUCUUGAUAUCAAACUAAUGGAGUGGCCAGUCGAGGUUUGCUGCCAAGGAUAAAAGAACUCAUAUAGUGUUCAGCUUUGCUACUGGUGCAAAUGUCUUGGUAUAGUCGAUGCCAUAAGUCUGAGUGAACCCCUUUGCAACUAGGCGGGCUUUGUAUCGUUCUACAGUGCCAUCCACCUUAUAUUUCACUGUGAAUAUCCAUUUACAGCCCACUGGUUUCUUCCCCCUUGGUAAAUUCAUCACUUCCCAAGUCUCAUUUUUUUCCAAUGCCCUUAUUUCUUCCAUCACAGUCUCUUUCCAUUCUUGAAUUUCAAAGGCUUCUUGAAUGUUUUUAGGAAGCUGGAUUCUGUCAAGGUUAGUUGUAAAGGCACGACACUUUGUAGAGAGAGAAUUAUAAGACACAAAGUUUGAGAUAGGAUGGAGAGUACAUGAACGAGGUUGUUUCCUAAUAGCAAUAGGUAAGUCAUCUGUUACCUGAUCAGAAUUGGAGCCAUACUCCCGAGGGGUUGGAACUAUCACCGGUUCUGACUCUUUUAGUGCUUUGGAGAUGAGUGUCUCAUUGAACUUCGAUUUUGGCCUCCUUGAGUAGACAAGUGUUUCCUUAUUUGUUUGUAAUUCCAUAUCUUCCCUUGAGUUUAAGUGUCCUUCUAUAUCAGGUGGAGGGUUAGAUAUAAGGCACGGAGUGGAUUCAAACAUAGCAACAUCAAGAUAGUCAAAGGAAGGUCUAGUUUCACUCAUGGACUCCCCCUGAAGCGAGUAGUAGGGAGUAUGCUCAAAAAAUGUGACAUCUUUGCUAACAUAUAGCUCCUGUGAAAUUGGGUCAUAGCAUUUGUAGCCUUUUUGUGUGAAAGAAUAGCCAAGAAAGACACAUUUAAGCGCUCUGGGAUCAAAUUUGUUCCGCUUAGGUCCGUGAAUGUGGACAAACACAGUGGACCCAAAGACACGAAGUGAAAGGUGUGCAUUAAGUCUCGAAUGAGGAAAAAACUCUUGGAAUUUUUGGAGGGGUGUGACAAAGGAUAAAACCCGACUAGGCAUUCGGUUAAUAAGAUAUGUGGCUGUCAAAAUGGAGUCACCCCAAAAUUGUGUUGGCAUGUGAGAUGUAAACAACAAAGCACGAGCAACUUCAAGAAUAUGUCUAUUUUUCCGUUCUGCAACCCCGUUUUGUUGAGGGGUGUCAACAUAAGAACUUUGAUGUAUAAUACCAUUUUCUUGUAGGUAAGUGCUCAAGGAGUGAUUAAAAUACUCAGUACCAUUAUCAGUACGAAGAAUUUGAAUUUUGGUGUGAAACUGAGUUUGUAUCAUAGAGUGAAAGUUUAUGAAGACUGAUCAAACCUCAGUUUUAUCAGUCAACAAAUAUACCUAACACAGGCGAAUAUGAUCAUCAAUAAAAGUAAUAAACCAUUUUUUAUGGGUCCUAUUAGGGGUACGUGAGGGACCCCAUAAAUCACUGUGAAUCAGAGUAAAUGGUAUGGAUGAUUUAUACUUAGAUUUAGGAAAAGACGCCCGAUGAUGUUUGGCAAGUUCACACACUUCACACUGAAAAUUCAAUAAAGUUUUGUUUGAACAUAGUGAGGGAAAUAAAUAUUUUAAGUACUGAAAACUAGGAUGACCCAUCCUUUUGUGCCAUAACAAAAGUUCACUGUCCUUAGGAUAAGAUGUAGAAUUACAAACAGUAGGAGAACUCUGUCCAAGCACAUCAGUUUCGUCGAAGUAAUAUAGACCCUCACUUUCCUUAGCACUGCCAAUCGUCUUCCCCGAUGAUAGGUCCUGAAAAACACAAUGAAAUGGUAGGAAUUUAGCUGAGCAAUUAGACAUUUUGGUUAAUUGGCUAAUAGACAUCAAAUUGCAAGACAAAUUAGGUACAUGUAGGACAGGGUUGAGAGUAAUCGACUCAGAAAUACGAAUACUCCCUUUGCCAGCAACUGGUGAUAAAGUACCAUCUGCAAUUUUUACUUUUAAAUUACCGACACAAGGAGAAUAUGUAGAAAAUAAAUGAUGAGCAUCAGUGAUAUGAUCAGAUGCACUAGAGUCAAUAAUCCAGGGAGUAGUCUGAGACAUGGUACUAAGUCCUGUCAAAAAGAUACCUUUUUUUGCCAAAGAACCAGAGGAUAAAGUGGUAGAAGACUGACCAGAUGCUUGGAAAUUAGAAAAAAGCUCAUAUAAUUUCGCAAGCUAGUCAGAAUUAAACCCCACACUAGAGGUUAACUGACAAAUUUCUGGUGGAGUUUUGUCUGCCUGGGUUUCGGAGGAGGCUUGAUGACUAUGGGCUUUAUUAGGUUGUCUGGGCUUCCAAUCUGCAGGUUUGCCAUGUAGGGCCCAACAAGUGUCUUUGGUGUGGCCCAACUUCUUACAAUGCUCACAAUAAGUCCUCUUGGACUGUCUUGGGCUUGGCCCAUUAGAUCCAACAACAUGAGGCCCACGUCCAGCAACAGUGUAAGGCCUAUGAGGCCCAUGAGACCCAUGAGGCCCAUGAGUUAAAAGGGCUGAGCCUUCAAGCCUAAAGGAGAGAUCCAACAUCACUCUCCUUCUGCUUUCCUCUCGCCGUACCUCAGAGAAGACUUCUCGGAUGGAGGGCAACGGCCGGGGACUGAGAACCCUACUUCUGACAUCAUCAAGCUCGCGGUUUAGCCCCGCUAGGAACUCGAAGAACCUUUAGUUCUCCAUCUUCUUCUUGAAGCGCACACUGUCCCCCGUGCACUCCCACUCUUCUUCGCAGCUGAGAUUGAGAUCUUGCCACAGACCCACCAUCUCGAUGUAAUAUUCCGUGACUUUCCGUUCUCCUUGCUUCAUCUGCCAAAGCUGCGUCUUGAUUUCAAAGAUUUGGGAAGCAUUUUUAGCAUCUGAAUACGUUUCCCGUAUCGCAUCCCACACGUCCUUUGCCGUCGGGAGGAACAUGUAAGUCUUUCCAAUGGAUGGUUUCAUGGAGUUAAUCAGGCAUGAGGUGAUGAAGGAGUUUUUGGACCGCCAUUUCUGGGAUGCAGCUACAUCAGUCAGAGGUGGUCGUCGUGUUUCGCCGGUCAAGGAACUGUUGAACAAAAAGAAAUUGGAAACACUGGUUGAUUCUAAGCUGCAGGGCUAUUACAUUGUAGAGGAGGUAGAGGAGCUAAUCCAGGUGGCUCUCCUUUGCAC